rfam:Culex pipiens quinquefasciatus supercont3.1002 genomic scaffold, whole genome shotgun sequence.
ACCAACGAUCACCGAAGUUAAGCAACAUCGGGCGCGAUUAGUACUUAGAUGGGUGACCGCUUGGGAACGUCGCGUGUCGUUGGCA